UACAGAGGGUGCAAGCGUUAAUCGGAUUUACUGGGCGUAAAGCGAGUGUAGGUGGUUUGUUAAGUCAGGUGUGAAAUCCCAGGGCUCAACCCUGGAACUGCAUUUGAUACUGACAGACUCGAGUGUGGUAGAGGAUAGUGGAAUUCCCGGUGUAGCGGUGAAAUGCGUAGAUAUCGGGAGGAACAUCAGUGGCGAAGGCGGCUAUCUGGACUAACACUGACACUGAGACUCGAAAGCGUGGGGAGCAAACAGG
rnacentral:rRNA from 1 species